GGAAUUUUGGACAAUGGGCGCAAGCCUGAUCCAGCAAUGCCGCGUGAGUGAAGAAGGCCUUCGGGUUGUAAAGCUCUUUUGUCAGGGAAGAAACGGUGUUUUCUAAUACAGAACGCUAAUGACGGUACCUGAAGAAUAAGCACCGGCUAACUACGUGCCAGCAGCCGCGGUAAUACGUAGGGUGCAAGCGUUAAUCGGAAUUACUGGGCGUAAAGCGUGCGCAGGCGGUUUUGUAAGACUGUCGUGAAAUCCCCGGGCUCAACCUGGGAAUGGCGAUGGUGACUGCAAGGCUAGAGUUUGGCAGAGGGGGGUAGAAUUCCACGUGUAGCAGUGAAAUGCGUAGAUAUGUGGAGGAACACCGAUGGCGAAGGCAGCCCCCUGGGUCAAAACUGACGCUCAUGCACGAAAGCAUGGGGAGCGAACAGGAUUAGAUACCCGGG
rnacentral:rRNA from 1 species